rnacentral:tRNA from 1 species
UCCCUUGUGGCUUAGCUGGUAAAGAAUCCACCUGCAAUGUGGAUGACCUGGGUUUGAAACCUGGGUUGGGAA